ACCUCAGGCCCUGGGCCUCGGACCGCUCACGCCCCAGACGCUUCAGGCCGCUCGUCUCCUCCCCCUUCACGCCACCGGCUCCCCCCGCGGCUCCAAUCUCUCCAGGUUCAGGGCUCGGGCAGCUCUUCCCACCCGCUCAGGCCUCCAGUCGGUCUGGCGGUCUCCACCAGACCCGGCUGCAGCCGGAUUCCCGCCCCUCACCCCCACCCUCACCCUCACCGCCACCAGGCCCCGCUCGGCCUCGCUCCAGCUCCCCAAAGCAGUUACCGAAAAGAUAGUUCUGGGGCCUCAGGGGGCUCAUGUCCAUGUCCAUCGAAUCUUCCAUCGGGUGGCGGCACGCACUUAGGUAGGAGAGAAGGCAGACGGAGAUAAAAGAACGCCGCUCCAGAGAACAGCCGCGCAGGACGGAAUCACACCAGGGAAAGGACGCAGCCUCCCCGCGCUUAUAUAUAGCUCCUGAAGAUCUCGCGAGCGCUUCCCAAGUCCCGCCUCCGCGCGCGUGCUCCGAAGCCCUCCCACCCCCGUACCGUAGCCCUCCUGCGCAAGCGCUUUUCAACACCACUCCUUUCUACCUCGCCCCCCACCUCCUUCCAGGUACUCCGCGGGCUCCCACCGAGCACGCGCACUCGUACACUGGCCCCACCCCUCCGCUGCUGUCGCCUGUGCGCACGCGUGCUUUCCAGUCGUAACGCGCGCUCCCCACCUCCAACAUUUCCACGUCCUCUCCCGCUCAAGCGCGCCGGCCUCCCGCCAAGAGUCUGCGCAGCCCACCCUGCAAAAUGGCGUCAGCAGCCGUUAGCUGUCUCUGUCCUUCCUGAGAAAACAUCUCCAAAGUCCUCAUCUUUACGGAACUUGGGGGCCAAAAGGGGACUGAAUCAGUCUCCAAAUGAGCAAGGACAUCGCCCUAAGAGAGCUCGGAGGGUGGGCCGAUUCUGACUUCUUGCCGCUCUUAAUUUUUAACAUUCCUCCUGAAAGAAAGCGGGUGACUUAAGGAAUUAGGUAGGAGAGAAGGCGAACGGAAAUAAAAGAAUGCUGCUCCAGAGAACAGCCGCGCAGGACGGAAUCACACCAGGGAAAGGACGCAGGCUCCCUGCGCUUAUACAUAGCCCCUGAAUUGUUUGAAAAUUUCCAUGAUAAAAUGUGUUAAAAAAUGAAGAUUAAAAUAAAACGUAUUUAAAAAAUGGU